rnacentral:rRNA from 1 species
GCAGGGGGGGGGUGCUUACCAUGGCAGUCGAACGGAGCACCCCUGAAGGAGUUUUCGGACAACGGAUGGGAAUGCUUAGUGGCGGACUGGUGAGUAACGCGUGAGGAACCUGCCUUCCAGAGGGGGACAACAGUUGGAAACGACUGCUAAUACCGCAUGAUGCGUUGGAGCCGCAUGACUCCGACGUCAAAGAUUUAUCGCUGGAAGAUGGCCUCGCGUCUGAUUAGCUAGUUGGUGAGGUAACGGCCCACCAAGGCGACGAUCAGUAGCCGGACUGAGAGGUUGGCCGGCCACAUUGGGACUGAGAUACGGCCCAGACUCCUACGGGAGGCAGCAGUGGGGAAUAUUGGGCAAUGGACGCAAGUCUGACCCAGCAACGCCGCGUGAAGGAAGAAGGCUUUCGGGUUGUAAACUUCUUUUAAGGGGGAAGAGCAGAAGACGGUACCCCUUGAAUAAGCCACGGCUAACUACGUGCCAGCAGCCGCGGUAAUACGUAGGUGGCAAGCGUUGUCCGGAUUUACUGGGUGUAAAGGGCGUGCAGCCGGAGAGACAAGUCAGAUGUGAAAUCCACGGGCUCAACCCGUGAACUGCAUUUGAAACUGUUUCCCUUGAGUGUCGGAGAGGUAAUCGGAAUUCCUUGUGUAGCGGUGAAAUGCGUAGAUAUAAGGAAGAACACCAGUGGCGAAGGCGGAUUACUGGACGAUAACUGACGGUGAGGCGCGAAAGCGUGGGGAGCAAACAGGAUUAGAU